UACGUAGGGUGCGAGCGUUGUCCGGAAUUAUUGGGCGUAAAGAGCUCGUAGGCGGUCUGUCGCGUCGGUCGUGAAAACCUGCAGCUUAACUGUGGGCGUGCGGUCGAUACGGGCAUGACUGGAGUUCGGCAGGGGAGACUGGAAUUCCUGGUGUAGCGGUGAAAUGCGCAGAUAUCAGGAGGAACACCGGUGGCGAAGGCUGGUCUCUGGGCCGAUACUGACGCUGAGGAGCGAAAGCGUGGGGAGCGAACAGG
rnacentral:rRNA from 1 species